CCUAGCUUCUCCAGGGGCAGGAUUCUCUGGAAAGAGGUUAUCUAGCAGCACAAGAUGAACACAGAGUCCAACUGCAGACAGUGGCUGAGCCCCUCUGACCCAGGGAGUUGGAGGGCUGUAUAUUCCAGUGUGGGAUGCGCUUGGAGGAGCUCAAAGAGCAGGUGAAGCAGACUGAACAGGACCGCCCCACCUCAGAGGCCCCUCCCACUCUACUGCCUUACCCCACCCCCUACUCCAUGCCAGAAGGGGGCAGUGAGCACAUGCCACUCCCUGAGCUACCAGAGUUUCAGGGAGGUGCACAGACUGCUAGACCUGGAUCUGACAGAGGGAGACCAUGACUUUCCUGAUGCAGGAGAAGAAGCCACACAUGCAGGCGGUGAGGGGACAAGAGAGGGACCACACCCAGUGACCAGGAGGGCCACACAUGUCUCCCUCAGAGCCAAUGCUAGGUCAGAAGGACGCUACAUUCAUUCCACUGGCAAGACCAAGGACCAGCAAAUCAGUUCUUUGUUCCCCUAAAGACCUCAGCCAAUCCCCUGCAUUUCAUGGCUCGCCUGCCAGUGACAGCAAGAGGUCAGAGGUCAGGAAGUCUCGAGGCAGCAGGCUCACCAGUCGGGGGAGAGUACUGCGUCAGAGAGGAGGGGCUCCAAACUGCAGCCUGGGACCAGGAGAGUGUAAUCUCAGGUCAAUUACUUGAGAGACUGGAUCAAGCUUCCAUUACAUUUUUGACUGCUUAUUCACCUACCUGGUGUCUGCUGUGAAAGAACAAAUGUCAUUACUUUUUGCACACUAUCCACCCAUUUCCUGUUCAUGACUGAAAACACAAUGUAAUUGCAUCUAACUUGUUUCCAAAACAUGUUCAACCAACAAAUAUCUGUUUUUUUGUUGUUGUACUUUUUAGUAAUUUAACUGACACUCUUAUCCAUAGCUAGGUGGGACAACCACAUAUCAUAGGCAUAGUAAGUACAUUUUUCCUCAAAGUAGCUAUCAAUCAGUAAAGUCAGAGCUAGUAAGUGAGGAAAAAGUGUAUAGGUCUAUGCAUAUGAAAAAUAAUGUUGAAUAAUAAGAAUGUUGUUCAUUUAUCUUGACAAUUCAGCAAUAUCUUCUAAACCAGCAGUAAAUUGUCUCUCAAACCCUCUGUGUGAUAGGAUAGGAUAGGAUCAUCUCACCCGAGAUGUGGGCUCUGAGAGCGGUCACCUGACUCCUGCAGCACCCAGUCCCUUCCACCAGAUGGCCACCACGAGUCUGUGUAGCCUGUCAGUUCCAGAGGAGCAGAACUCAGGGAAGCCCCAACACACACCCCCUCUCCCCUCCUCCUCCCCCUCACAAAGACCUCAGAGACCCGCCUCGCUGGAGCACAGUGGAGGCUCUCCUCUCAGCACCACAAGGUGGGUACGAGAGUCUUCAGGGAGAACUAGGGGAGGGGGGUCUCAGCAUCCAGCUUCCCCCAGACCU